rnacentral:rRNA from 1 species
GAUAAACGCUGGCGGCGUGCCUAAUACAUGCAAGUCGAGCGAACGGACGAGAAGCUUGCUUCUCUGAUGUUAGCGGCGGACGGGUGAGUAACACGUGGAUAACCUACCUAUAAGACUGGGAUAACUUCGGGAAACCGGAGCUAAUACCGGAUAAUAUUUUGAACCGCAUGGUUCAAAAGUGAAAGACGGUCUUGCUGUCACUUAUAGAUGGAUCCGCGCUGCAUUAGCUAGUUGGUAAGGUAACGGCUUACCAAGGCAACGAUGCAUAGCCGACCUGAGAGGGUGAUCGGCCGCACUGGAACUGAGACACGGUCCAGACUCCUACGGGAGGCAGCAGUAGGGAAUCUUCCGCAAUGGGCGAAAGCCUGACGGAGCAACGCCGCGUGAGUGAUGAAGGUCUUCGGAUCGUAAAACUCUGUUAUUAGGGAAGAACAUAUGUGUAAGUAACUGUGCACAUCUUGACGGUACCUAAUCAGAAAGCCACGGCUAACUACGUGCCAGCAGCCGCGGUAAUACGUAGGUGGCAAGCGUUAUCCGGAAUUAUUGGGCGUAAAGCGCGCGUAGGCGGUUUUUUAAGUCUGAUGUGAAAGCCCACGGCUCAACCGUGGAGGGUCAUUGGAAACUGGAAAACUUGAGUGCAGAAGAGGAAAGUGGAAUUCCAUGUGUAGCGGUGAAAUGCGCAGAGAUAUGGAGGAACACCAGUGGCGAAGGCGACUUUCUGGUCUGUAACUGACGCUGAUGUGCGAAAGCGUGGGGAUCAAACAGGAUUAGAUACCCUGGUAGUCCACGCCGUAAACGAUGAGUGCUAAGUGUUAGGGGGUUUCCGCCCCUUAGUGCUGCAGCUAACGCAUUAAGCACUCCGCCUGGGGAGUACGACCGCAAGGUUGAAACUCAAAGGAAUUGACGGGGACCCGCACAAGCGGUGGAGCAUGUGGUUUAAUUCGAAGCAACGCGAAGAACCUUACCAAAUCUUGACAUCCUUUGACAACUCUAGAGAUAGAGCCUUCCCCUUCGGGGGACAAAGUGACAGGUGGUGCAUGGUUGUCGUCAGCUCGUGUCGUGAGAUGUUGGGUUAAGUCCCGCAACGAGCGCAACCCUUAAGCUUAGUUGCCAUCAUUAAGUUGGGCACUCUAAGUUGACUGCCGGUGACAAACCGGAGGAAGGUGGGGAUGACGUCAAAUCAUCAUGCCCCUUAUGAUUUGGGCUACACACGUGCUACAAUGGACAAUACAAAGGGCAGCGAAACCGCGAGGUCAAGCAAAUCCCAUAAAGUUGUUCUCAGUUCGGAUUGUAGUCUGCAACUCGACUACAUGAAGCUGGAAUCGCUAGUAAUCGUAGAUCAGCAUGCUACGGUGAAUACGUUCCCGGGUCU